rnacentral:rRNA from 1 species
AUUGAACGCUGGCGGCAGGCCUAACACAUGCAAGUCGAGCGAGCGGCGGACGGGUGAGUAAUGUAUGGGGACUGCCCUCUAGCGGGGGAUAACUACUGGAAACGGUAGCUACUUCCGCAUACUAUCGGAUAACCCAUAUAGGAUUAGCUAGUAGGUGAGGUAAUGGCUCACCUAGGCGACGAUCCCUAGCUGAUCUGAGAGGAUGAUCAGCCACACUGGGACUGAGACAAGGCCCAGAAGCCUACGGAGGCAGCAGUGGGGAAUUUUGGAACAUGGGGGAAAGCCUGAUGCAGCCAUCCCGCGUGUAUGAUGAAGGCCUUCGGGUUGUAAAGUACUGUUGGCAGAGAAGCGGUAUCUGCAGAAUAAGCACCGGCUAACUACGUGCCAGCAGCCGCGGUAAUAC